AGUGAACGCUGGCGGUAGGCCUAACACAUGCAAGUCGAACGGCAGCACAGUAAGAGCUUGCUCUUACGGGUGGCGAGUGGCGGACGGGUGAGGAAUACAUCGGAAUCUACUUUUUCGUGGGGGAUAACGUAGGGAAACUUACGCUAAUACCGCAUACGACCUACGGGUGAAAGCAGGGGAUCUUCGGACCUUGCGCGAUUGAAUGAGCCGAUGUCGGAUUAGCUAGUUGGCGGGGUAAAGGCCCACCAAGGCGACGAUCCGUAGCUGGUCUAAGAGGAUGAUCAGCCACACUGGAACUGAGACACGGUCCAGACUCCUACGGGAGGCAGCAGUGGGGAAUAUUGGACAAUGGGCGCAAGCCUGAUCCAGCCAUACCGCGUGGGUGAAGAAGGCCUUCGGGUUGUAAAGCCCUCUUGUUGGGAAAGAAAAGCAGCAGGUUAAUACCCCGCUGUUCUGACGGUACCCAAAGAAUAAGCACCGGCUAACUUCGUG
rnacentral:rRNA from 1 species